UCUCUGUGAGUUAACAUUCCCUCUGAUUCUCACAAGUCUGGCUAUGUCUCCAGAAAAAAAGAAAAAAAAGAAAAAAAAAGAAAAAGAAAAAGAAAAAAAAAGCCGUCAAUCACAGAUGACUUGGAUUCAACCGCGUCUUCUUUGAUUAUUUUGACACAUUUUGACAAAAUCUAAACCUAGAAACAACGGAAGAACUGACCUCAGACAGCCUGAGAUUCGCAGCACCGGCUUUUCGCGUGAAGGAAAUUCUGGACCUGAAUGAUACCUGCACUGAAAUCUGCUUUGCUUCUCUCCCCCCACCCCGACCCCCAGAUCUUGAGGUCCUUCCCUGAGAAAUGAAGAAUUUCAUUUGCUGCUGUUAAAAGUGCUCAAAGCAGAGAGCCCUCAACGAGUACUUCAUCUGAGACUAGAAGACGGUUCAGUCCAUCGAGUGCUUGCUCUGAGUUUGAACACCAGAAACUGUACAGAAAUGCCAGGUAUGGUGGCACCCUGGAGAAGCAGAACAGGCAGCUCCCUAGGGCUUGCUGGCCAGCCCAGCCUACUUAGCAAGUUCCAGAGGAGUUGAAAGACUCUGUCUCAAAAAGAACAGCAAAGGAGGCAGACAGGAGGGAGUUCAGUGGGUAAAGGCACUUGCCACAGAACCUGAUGACUUGAGUUCAAUUCCCAGAGCC
rnacentral:lncRNA from 1 species